AACCAUAGAAACCUGCGGAGUACCUGCGGAAGGAUCAUUACAGAGUUGCAAAACUCCCUAAACCAUUGUGAACGUUACCUAAACCGUUGCUUCGGCGGGCGGCCCGGGUCCUUCCCGGCGCCCAUCGGCCCUCGCGGGCGCCCGCCGGAGGUAAACCAAACUAUUGCAUUGUAUGGCCUCUCUGAGUCUUCUGUACCGAAUAAGUCAAAACUUUUAACAACGGAUCUCAGAUCGGAAGAG
rnacentral:misc_RNA from 1 species